rnacentral:rRNA from 1 species
CUAAACUCCGUAGCCAGCAGCCGCGGUAAUACGGAGGGUGCGAGCGUUAAUCGGAAUUACUGGGCGUAAAGCGCAUGCAGGCGGCCUGUUAAGUCAGAUGUGAAAGACCCGGGGCGUUAACCUCGGAAUUGCAUUUGAAACUGGCAGGCUAGAGUCUUGUAGAGGGGGGUAGGAAGUUUCAGGUGUAGCGGUGAAAUAGCGUAGAGAUCUGAAGGAAUACCAGUGGCGAAGGCGGCCCCCUCGGACAAAGACUGACGCUCAGAUGCGAAAGCGUGGGGAGCAAACAGGAUUAGAUACCCUGGUAG